UCAAAGUUCAGCCUGAGGUAG
rnacentral:piRNA from 1 species